CUGGAGGAAGGAGAAGAGCCAUGAGGCCCUGCUGUCCAGCCCAGCAGCCCACAGAGCUGGGGCUGCUCCACAAAGCUGGACUGGCCACAGAGCCAGCUCUGUCCCACCAGCACCAGCCACAACUCCUGAGCCAUUUGCCAGCUGCUGCAGUCAGCCAUUCCCCACACAUGCAGAAGAAGCUCAAACUAGGGCUUCAUUUCACAGAAGGCUGUCUUGCUGCCUCCCUGGCUGCAGUGCACGCGUGCAUGUCGGAUGCAGAUAAAGUAUCACCAUCUACUGGCGCCUGGAAGGAUAACGGCAGAAAAUUUUAG
rnacentral:lncRNA from 1 species